UUUCUCUGUUAGAGCCAACGAUUUCGUUCAAUUGCGGAACGAAAAUCAACGAAAGUGGUUGCGCAAUGACUUCGGUGUCAGCUCUCAGAGGCGUUCGAUUGCCUUUGUUCAAUCCUCAAUCGCCUCAUCAUCGCCUUCAAUUUCCCGCCAUAGCCACGAGGAAUUCCAACCAUGGCUUUAGGUCAAACGGCUUUCGUCUCCUUGCUCGUUACUCUCCAGCUCAG
rnacentral:misc_RNA from 1 species